GCACUGGUGGUUCAGUGGUAGAAUUCUCACCUUCCACGCAGGAGACCCAGGCUCAGUUCCUGGCCAGUGCA
rnacentral:tRNA from 1 species